rnacentral:tRNA from 1 species
GCAGUGGUGGUUUAAUGGUAGAAUUCUCACCUCUCAUGCAGGAGACCUGGGCUUGAUUCCCAGUCAAUGCA